rnacentral:lncRNA from 1 species
ACUUACCAGAGAAAAAUCAUAGUUUAAAAGUCUUUUCUGCUUUCUUCCCCCCCAUUAGCACCUACAGAAUGAAAUUCCAACAGUAAUCAUCAGUGUGGUAGUGACGGUCAUUCUUCUCUUCACAUUCUUGCUGGUAGUGUUAUUGACAUAUAAACGCUCGAGGAAGUAUCAACUGCAUGUGAUAAAAAGCUCAGACUUAUCUGGAGAACAAAUUCCCAACGGAGUAGAAGAAGAGAAUACCCUUUUGACAAUGCAGCAGAUACCUGAUGGCCAUUCAGUAUCACAGGGAACAUGUCACGAUCCUGUGGAAUCCAGCAUCUAAAAAAGGCUCUUUCAUGCUAGGCUGGAAAAUAAGGAUUAAUUCCU